UACGUAGGGACCAAGCGUUGUUCGGAUUUACUGGGCGUAAAGGGCGCGUAGGCGGCAUGACAAGUCACUUGUGAAAUCUCCGGGCUUAACUCGGAACGGUCAAGUGAUACUGUCGCGCUAGAGUGCGGAAGGGGCAAUCAGAAUUCUUGGUGUAGCGGUGAAAUGCGUAGAUAUCAAGAGGAACACCUGAGGUGAAGACGGGUUGCUGGGCCAACACUGACGCUGAUGCGCGAAAGCCAGGGGAGCAAACGGG
rnacentral:rRNA from 1 species